rnacentral:tRNA from 1 species
UCCCGGGUGGCUCAGACUUAAAGAACCUGCCUGCAAUGCAGGAGACCCAGGUUCCAUCCCUGGGUCAGGAA